GCCUGUGAAAAUCACCUUUGAUGACAUUAUUUAGAAGAUGUCGUGGCCCUAAUUUUCUGAGCCGAUUGAUAACCACUUUAUCUGAUAACCGUUUAAAGUCCAUUUAUAUCGAUGGAGGAUUUAAAAUCUCUAGAUUUUAAAUCCUCGCCCAGAGUUUUCGAGAAUCGGAUUUCUUUGUUUUGUGUUGGAAUGGAAGGCUUGCUUUGUGAAUGUGAUUUGGGAAUUAGUCAAGGCUCGCUUUGUGAAUGUGAGUUGGGAAUCAGGCAAGGCUCGCUUUGUGAAUGUGAUUUGGGAAUCAGACAAGGCUCGCUUUGUGAAUGUGAUUUGGGAAUCAGCC